GUGUCAGCCGCCGCGGUAAUACGUAGGUGGCAAGCGAUACUCGGAAUCACUAGGCGUAAAGCGCAGGUAGGCGGUUUGAUAAGUCUUUUGUGAAAGCUCCUGGCUUAACUGGGAGAGGUCAAAGGAAACUGUCAGACUAGAGUUUGGUAGGGGAUACUGGAAUUCCUGGUGUAGCGGUGAAAUGCGUAGAUAUCAGGAGGAAUACCUAUGGCGAAAGCAGGUAUCUGGGCCACAACUGACGCUGAGCUGCGAAAGCUAGGGGAGCAAACAGGAUUAGAUACCCUUGUAGUCC
rnacentral:rRNA from 1 species